AUGUGUUCACUGACCUCGACGAUACAACAUUAUCACAGGCCGUAGAUAAGUAUGAGUAUGAACUUGAAGAUAGUGACACGGUAGCUACUGACAUUGGAAUAUUUGAUACCAAGGAAUUAACUCAGCCAAUUGUUGUAAAUGAACUGAAUGGUAAUGUGAAAAACAUGUGAAAGGCUGCAGGAUUCGAGGGAAAUUACAUAAACCAUUCCGGAAAGAGGACCUGCGCUACUUCCCUUUACCAAGCAGGUUUUGAUGAACAACUCAUUAUGGACAGAACGGUACAUCGCAGCAGGGCUGUACGUGCAUACAAGGUGAAGAAAGAAGACAGAAAA